CUUUGAAGACAUGGGUCUUGGACAUUUUUAAGCUGUACUACAUGGUAUGGUAGUAAGUAGGAAACAGCUAUAAAUUUAGUAGUCAAUGCGCUCAUGGAUUUACUUGUGGGGACUUAAUCUGUCUUUUAGCUCAGGUUUGAUGUCCUAAGUUUUGCCAUAUGAAUUCAAUGAAGGUUACACAAGGCGAUAGUUUAAUCUUUUCCAGGAUGAACUCAAAGAACCAAUUGGGAAAUCAGAAAACUACCAUGAUUUUUAUUUCUAUGAAAUUGCCACUCAUUGGUAUUUCUGCCAGCUUCCAAUUUCAUGUUCCCCAAUAGUACUGCUUAUGCUUUAGGUUUGAUAUUAUUUCCUUCAAGAAUUCAGAAGAAGAUUUCUUAUUGUAGGUUUGGUGGAUUUAGUUGACACAUUGCUUGUUUGGAUAAUACCGUGAAAACAUAUCAUGGAGAGAGUCCAUCUGAGAAUCUGAAUAACAAAGGUGCGAAUUGAGAAGGUUCUCAAGGCUGGUGCUAAUAUUGUAGAUAACAUGUUUCAGCAUCAUUAUUAAUUGUUAAGGCAUGCUCUUUGCGGGCUUCACAUCCCUCUGCUUGAUUGCUGGUCUUCGUUUGUUAUCUACCCGUUGUUGCCAGAGCACAUGAGUAGCAAACACACAAAAUAUAAUCUCCCAAAACAAACCUAUGUGCCUAUAUCGGGCGCGGCCGCCGCCAUUGAGGUGAUGGGGGAGGUGGGCGAGCGGGAGGGUCGAGGCCCGGCGGUGAGGUGGCCGGCGGGCGACGGUGCUGUGGCGACACCGAGGGGCAGGAUCCGGGGAGGACAUGCGGGAUCUGGUCAUGCCGGUCUUCCUCUGCGUUGCUACUUGCACUGCUUCCUCCUCCUCUUGGCUGCCUCGUCUCCCCCAGUUUUUGCAGGUGUGGGUGGGUCUGGACUAGCUUGGUCUACUGAUGUGCAUUCAUCAUUGGCUGCACUGAAGUAAGUGUUGGGCCUUUUGCUAAUCAGGUUCUGUGAUUCACUGGGCCUUUUAGGACCUGGUCUUUGCAAAAAAUGUAAGUCCGACAUCACCAUGUUUGUCAUGGGUGUCAGCGAGAAGGAAUACAAGUCGAACAUCACCAUUGUCUCCAGCACUAGCUGC